rnacentral:rRNA from 1 species
UUCCGGUUGAUCCUGCCGGACCCGACUGCUAUCCGGGUGGGACUAAGCCAUGCAAGUCGAAUGGGAUACCUAAAUUUCCCAUGGCGAACUGCUCAGUAACACGUGAUCAACUUACCCUGUGGAGAAAAAUAACUUCGGGAAACUGAAGAUAAUUCUUCAUAAUUGAGAAUGCUUGGAAAGGUUUCUCAAUAAAAGAACAUUUCAAAUGGGAAAUGUAUCGCCGCAGGAUAGGAUCGCGUCCGAUUAUGGCAGUUGGUGAGGUAAUGGCUCACCAAACCUAUUAUCGGUAAGGGCCGUGAGAGCGGAAGCCCUGAGAUGGGUACUGAGACAAUGACCCAGGUCUUACGAGACGCAGCAGGCGCGAAACCUUCACAAUGCACGAAAGUGAGAUGAGGUUACCCGGAGUGCUACAAAGUAGCUGUGGCAGGUGAGUAAGGUUCCCUGCUAGGAAGGAGAGGGCAAGGCUGGUGCCAGCCGCCGCGGUAAAACCAGCUCUUCAAGUGGUCGGGAUUAUUAUUGGGCUUAAAGUGUUCGUAGCCUGUUUAGUAAGUUCUUGGUUAAAUCGAAUAGCUUAACUAUCUGUCUGCUAAGAAUACUACUAUACUAGG